UACGAAGGGGGGCUAGCGUUGCUCGGAAUCACUGGGCGUAAAGGGUGCGUAGGCGGGUUUUUAAGUCAGAGGUGAAAUCCUGGAGCUCAACUCCAGAACUGCCUUUGAUACUGGGGAAUCUUGAGUAUGGAAGAGGUGAGUGGAACUGCGAGUGUAGAGGUGAAAUUCGUAGAUAUUCGCAAGAACACCAGUGGCGAAAGGCGGCUCACUGGCCGGGUACUGACGCUGAGGUGCGAAAAGCGUGGGGAGCCAAACAGGG
rnacentral:rRNA from 1 species